rnacentral:rRNA from 1 species
AUGUUGACGUAACUUGUGGGCGUGCGUGAGUUUCGGCCUCGCUGUUUGCAUGUUUGUGCGCUUUGGGUGUACUUUUUCGUAUGGUUGGCCAACAUCAGUUUCGAUUACUAUAAAAUGACUGGCGGAAUGUAGCUUCGAUUUCGGUUGAAGUGUUAUAGCCUCUGGUAGAUGUGGUAAUUGGGACUGAGGAUUGCAACGAAUAUCCUUUGGGCUAUCCGUCUGGCCUCUGAAAGUUGCUUGGGUGCUGAAAGCUUGCUUAUGGUUAUCUAAGUUAACGGUCAAUAGGUUAGAACGUGAUUACAUUCGUUAAGGAUGUUGACGUAA